GUAUAUUAGCGCCAUUUAUUGCUGCUUGGACCACAGCAUCUUCGGAAUUUGUAGACAUCCUGGCAGCUUACAAUUAGUUCGAGGUGAGACACUGAAUUUGAGCAGAAACCAUAAGGAUACUCAAAGGACCUGUGACUCUCAGGAAAUGCAUCAAAUGAGAAGGACAGAUGAAAC